UGCAGUCGACGCCCCGCAGGGGAGUGGCAGACGGGUGAGUAACGCGUGGGAACAUACCCUUUCCUGCGGAAUAGCUCCGGGAAACUGGAAUUAAUACCGCAUACGCCCUACGGGGGAAAGAUUUAUCGGGGAAGGAUUGGCCCGCGUUGGAUUAGCUAGUUGGUGGGGUAAAGGCCUACCAAGGCGACGAUCCAUAGCUGGUCUGAGAGGAUGAUCAGCCACAUUGGGACUGAGACACGGCCCAAACUCCUACGGGAGGCAGCAGUGGGGAAUAUUGGACAAUGGGCGCAAGCCUGAUCCAGCCAUGCCGCGUGAGUGAUGAAGGCCUUAGGGUUGUAAAGCUCUUUCACCGAUGAAGAUAAUGACGGUAGUCGGAGAAGAAGCCCCGGCUAACUUCGUGCCAGCAGCCGCGGUAAUACGAAGGGGGCUAGCGUUGUUCGGAAUUACUGGGCGUAAAGCGCACGUAGGCGGAUAUUUAAGUCAGGGGUGAAAUCCCGCAGCUCAACUGCGGAACUGCCUUUGAUACUGGGUAUCUUGAGUAUGGAAGAGGUAAGUGGAAUUCCGAGUGUAGAGGUGAAAUUCGUAGAUAUUCG
rnacentral:rRNA from 1 species